rnacentral:rRNA from 1 species
UACGGGGGGGGCAAGCGUUGUUCGGAAUUACUGGGCGUAAAGGGCUCGUAGGCGGCCAACUAAGUCGGAUGUGAGAUCCCCAGGCUUAACCUGGGAACUGCAUCCGAUACUGGAUGGCUUGAAUUCGGGAGAGGAAUGCGGAAUUCCAGGUGUAGCGGUGAAAUGCGUAGAUAUCUGGAGGGACACCGGUGGCGAAGGCGGCAUUCUGGACCGACAUUGACGCUGAGGAGCGAAAGCCAGGGGAGCAAACGGG